AGGGAUUGCUGAGUCUGAACAUCACUUCUGCUAAGCUUGGAGCAGCACUGAAGCUAUUUUAAACAAGGAGAAGUGCAAGACUUGGAACCCUCUGUGGGGGAGAAGACGGGAAUGCUACUCGCUGCAUUUCUCAGCUUAACUCGCAGGGCUGAGUGUUUAACUCCUUGAAGAACACUUCGACAAUUAACAUACAGACUACCUCUUUCCAGGCCCACUGGU
rnacentral:lncRNA from 1 species